GGUCAUGAGCGUCAGCAUCGAGCCCCGGCUGGCUGGCCGGCAACCCUCCACCGCGGUGGGGUGCCCCGGGUGAUGACCUGGUUCCCCGAUCACAGGGUCGGGAGACAAGCGCGGAUC
rnacentral:ncRNA from 1 species